rnacentral:lncRNA from 1 species
GCAUGUUGUCCUUCAAAGUUAACUAAAAUCUCGCAACAGACGUUUGAAAAAAAAGGUUUAAAUCAAAACCACGCUCGUGUUUUCAAAAACAUUUGUUCGCGUAAAAUUGAAAUUUUGUCAAUCAUCAUGGUUUGAAAAUCACAAAUGCAACCAAACCAAAAAUCCCAAUAUGAACAGUCCCAAAAGUCCGGAGAGUUCAAAAAUU